CCAAGUCUCAGCCCACCACCCAUCCCCCAGGGCGGGAUGCCGGGCCUUGUGGAGCACGGGAAGAGGAGAGCAGUGACCCUGGAGAGUUCACAUUAGGCAGAGAUUAAGGGGCUCAAGGCUUGAACCAGGGCCAAGGCCUUGGUGGUCACAGAGGGAAAAGAGACAGUUUUUCAGGGCUGAAAACUCAGUGCCACCAGGGGCCAGGCAGGGAUUUUAAAUGAGUGAAGAGGGCCAGAGUAAGAUGAUAAAUAGUUAUUAUUCCUUGGCCCCAGAUUCAGAGAGACAAGAGGGAGUGGUGGGGACUGGGGCAUAUGCCCUGUCUAAAGCUGAGUGUGGGCCCUUGAGAAUGGGGACCCAAUGCAAUCAGAUCUUCAGAUCCUCUGAUUUUCCAGUGGGUGCCAGAAACACAGGUUUUUAUCUAAUAUCUACAGAUUUUUUAAUGUUGGCUCCAUUCAUUUACAAAUUCAGUUUGGACCGAAUUUGGCCAACCCAAGGGCCAGAUUCAGUCCCUUGGGCCUCCAGUUUGCAACCUCUACUUGGCCAAAGAGAACAGCCAGAGAAGGAACAGAUCAUAGCCUGAUCCUGAGUCAGGAUCUGAGGGUUGGGACGGUGGCCAGAACCCAGUGCCAGCAGCUCCGAGGGACUGUGGAAAAGGUUCCUGUCAUCUGGUCCCCCUCCUUCAUCUCACGGGGUUGAGCCUCCCCACCCGCCCGCCUGCUCCAGCUGGCUGUGGGGUGGAAGGGGGCCUGGGUGGGGACUGAGGUCUCCUUUCCCACAUGGGACACAGCUGUGGAUGUGUUUUCCAGGCAGAUCCCAAUUUCUCUCUCCUGUCCAACAUGGCCCUGCAACCCCAGGAAGUACGUGACCCUGUGCCCCAGGUCACGCCCCCCCCAAAGCCAUGCCCUCAGCAGCCUGUUCACAUGCCUGCCUCACCCGCCAUGUUCCAAGCCACAUGCUUCCACAGCUAUCACUUUGAAUCUUCACCACAUCCUUUUAUGACCAAUUUUCAGAUGAGGAAAUUGAGGCUCAGGGAAGGAAAAUGACUGGCCCAGGGCCCUACCAUGAGUAUGCAGAGGAGCUGGACUCAAGCUCAGGCCUCACACGCUGGAUAACGGGUGGCCUCACCCCAUCUCUUCCUGCUAGAACCCAGCCCAUCCUCCAAGGCUCAGCCCCAGUGCUUCCUCCUGGUUUAUUUAACAAGCAACCAGGUCCUAGACCAGGUGCUGGGUAUUCAGAAAUGAACAGACAGGGUUUGUCUCAGGUUCCCCCAUAGUGUUUGUUGAAUGAAUAUUUUACUCACUCUCUGGGAAUCUCAUUUUCCCAAGUCAUGGGCCCUGUCCACAUCCAAUCUGUUUGUCUCAGCCCUGGCACCUCGUUUCUCUGACCACAUGUCUGCAUGCUUCCCAGAUGUCUGCCCCUGCACGGGCCCCCAGGCAUCCUUCAAAUCAAUGCACCCAAAGUGAACUCGGCAAUUUCCCCCUAAACUGCUCCUCUGCCCCGGUUUUCCUCCUCGUAGAAGCCCCCACCAUCUGCCCAAUGGCCAAAGCCAGAAGCCCGAGCAUUGUCCAUUAUACCUCCCCCUCCACACCCUCAACCCAACUGGUCACCAAGGCCAGGGAGGCUUGUCCUCAAUGUCCUUCAACUCUGUCUGUUGCUCACAUCUUCCUUGGGUGACUACAUUCUCCUCCUCACUGUUUGCCCUGCAUGGGAACUUCCUCUUUCCCAAAUCCAACUUCCCACAGCAGCUGGGUGACAUUUACUAUUUCCUGCAGCUCUCAGAUGUAGCUCCCCGUUACCUUCAGAAGGCAGUUCAAACACCUUGGCCAGCCUUAAAACCCCUGCUCGGUCCAGUGACCUCGCCCCUGUUCCUACACAUUCCAGGCGCUGUCUCGGGAUGUAGCUCUGACCACCCCGCCACUUUCUCACACUGGCAAGUUGAGUUUCCAGCCAGGAAUGAGACCUUUGGGCCUUGUUGAUCCUUCACGGCUGAGGCUGGAACAUACAUGGAAACCACCUGAGUAAUCCUAUGGCGACCCUGCCCAGCCUGAUGGGGCAUGAACUGGAAAUUCCCUAUAACAUUGCUAAUUAAAUGAUUCCUCCUGCCUUCUUCUCCUUUUA